GGUAAGGGUAGGAAACCAUGAAAAAGUUAAUUCAGAUCCUAAUCACGCCUAUAUAUAAACCCCAUAAGCAUGCAUUGAUAAUUUAUUCUCUCAAUAUUCGGUGGGUUUCAGUGACUGUGAGUUUCACCAGAAGAAUUGAUGUCAACCUAAAUUCUACAAGCAUGUUGCUAAAUCCCAUGCAGCCACCGAUUUACUUUCUCGAGCUUCGCUUCCAUUUCAAUUACAGAGAAUUGCUCAGAAACCUUGAAGGCGACCUGAUCGAGAUUCAAGCCUACCCAACUGCUCCAACCUCCUCUUUCCUCUUCCAGAUUCGUUCUUAUGAUCACCUAUUUGAUCAGCCACCCUACAAAAGCCAUCUUGAUGGCCUUUUCUCUUUCUUCAAUCUUGAUGACCCACUACACGAUUUCUUGGCUUAUCGCAUUGCAAGCUUCCUCGUUUUCAUAGCCAAUAAGCAACCUUUCUUGGGGUUUCAUGUGGUGACCGAUGUGGGGAUUACUCAUCAAGACUUGAUUGAUGAAGAUCCCAUUGAUCUGACGAUAUUAAUGGACGAAAAGCACCAAGAAGUGGUUCCCAGAGGUGCAUCGAGUUCCGCACUAAACAGUUGAAGAAGCAGAGCUCUUUUGAAAAGCAGGGCAGCGGUGAUGGUGAUGAAUUAUCGGGCGUUUGUGUGAUUUGUUUGGAGGGAUUAUUUGGUAACCGGGUCGCACUCACAGAGAUGACGUGCACUCAUGUAUUUCAUGAACGGUACAUCACUCGAUGGUUGAAGAUUCAGAAUUCAUGCCCGACUUGUCGACUGGAACUUGAGGACUGAAUGCUGCUGAUUCUACAAUUUAUAGAUGCCAAUUAUAUUUUCUGCCACAGUUGUCAAUUGUAGCCAUGAAAUUACAUUAACUUCAUCAAAAUCUGAUUCCUAGUAAUGGGUAGUUUACAAGGGUUAUAGGAUUUUUUUUUCCUUCAUACUUACCAUCAAAUUUCACUCUAUGCUUUGCACUCGGAAACACUAAUUAUUCUGUAGUUAGCAAAAGCAUUAUGCUUUCAUUAUUUUGUUGCAGAUAAGAUAGUGCG
rnacentral:misc_RNA from 1 species